AUUGAACGCUGGCGGCAUGCCUUACACAUGCAAGUCGAACGGUAACAGGUCUUCGGAUGCUGACGAGUGGCGAACGGGUGAGUAAUACAUCGGAACGUGCCUAGUAGUGGGGGAUAACUACUCGAAAGAGUGGCUAAUACCGCAUGAGAUCUACGGAUGAAGGCAGGGGAUCGCAAGACCUUGUGCUACUAGAGCGGCCGAUGGCAGAUUAGGUAGUUGGUGGGAUAAAAGCUUACCAAGCCGACGAUCUGUAGCUGGUCUGAGAGGACGAUCAGCCACACUGGAACUGGAACACGGCCCAGACUCCUACGGGAGGCAGCAGUGGGGAAUUUUGGACAAUGGGCGAAAGCCUGAUCCAGCAAUGCCGCGUGCAGGAUGAAGGCCUUCGGGUUGUAAACUGCUUUUGUACGGAACGAAAAGCCCCGGGUUAAUACCCUGGGGUCAUGACGGUACCGUAAGAAUAAGCACCGGCUAACUACGUGCCAGCCGCCGCCGUAA
rnacentral:rRNA from 1 species